rnacentral:rRNA from 1 species
GACGAACGCUGGCGGCGUGCUUAACACAUGCAAGUCGAACGAUGAAGCCGGAGCUUGCUCUGGUGAAUUAGUGGCGAACGGGUGAGUAACACGUGAGUAACCUGCCCUUGACUCUGGGAUAACUGCUAGAAACGGUAGCUAAUACCGGAUACGACUCUCGGAGGCAUCCCCAGGGGGUGGAAAGAACUUCGGUCAAGGAUGGACUGGCGGCCAAUCAGCUAGUUGGUGAGGUAAUGGUUCACCAAGGCGACGACGGGUAGCCGGCCUGGGAGGGUGACCGGCCACACUGGGACUGAGACACGGCCCAGACUCGUACGGGAGGCAGCAGUGGGGAAUAUUGCACAAUGGGCGCAAGCCUGAUGCAGCAACGCCGCGUGAGGGAUGACGGCCUUCGGGUUGUAAACCUCUUUUAGUAGGGAAGAAACGAAAGUGACGGUACCUGCAGAAAAAGCACCGGCUAACUACGUGCCAGCCGCCGCCGUAA